UGGAGCCGCAGCAUUCAACAGAUUCCAGAUAACCCAAAAGGCAACCCACUGAGCAAUUACAAGGUCCCUGCAUUUCACAAAAGCAGCGGACAGAAUAUCAAAAUGGGGUCUUUCAGGAAAAAACUUUGGCAGAGCCCCCUCUUCAAAGGUCCUGUGAUGUGGCCAUCUGUUUAUCCACCCUCAGGAAUUACUCUGAUGGAUCUGAAAAGCGAUGACAACUGUGCUCGGCCCAUCGCUGUGUCGGUGUGCUGCACGAAGGCAGGGAGACAGACGAGGCAUUUACAUAUCGUAACGCAAACCCAGCAGUGAGUUAAUUGAAGCCGGCAGAACAGAGCGAGGAAUUGGCAAGCAGAAGAUGCUUAUCACCCACAAUGCGCUCUCACAGAGGGACUGUUCAACUCUGGAAGAAGACUGUCGCAGGCCAGAGAUUUCUCAGCUUUCAGGUUCCUCAAGGACUGGGGAGACUCA